GGGGGCACUAGAAUCUUGCUGCGCGGGCUAUUGGAGUUGAAGGGUUAUCAUUCGCGCUACCCGUUGAGUAGUGUUCUUGAGAGCUUCUGCUUCUUUAUCCAGAUUGAAAGGCUAGCCUUUAGCUACGGAUUUUAUCAAAAAGAUUGUUGAUCAAUGUUUGUGCAGGAUUCGGUUGAUUAGAAUGAUGAACGUAGGAAUGGGGUGGCUAAAGACGCUUUUAUUAGAAUCAAACAAGAGGUUACAAGAUUGACAGGAAAUAAGGAGACAAGAUCAAAGGUUUAAGCAACAUGAUCAAAGAGAUGAUUAGGAAACCCUAGAUCUAGCCGCCUCUGCGUGUGUUGUCCAAAAGUCCUCCUUUUCGUUGUCUCCUCAUCCCCUCUUAUAGUGUCCUCGUCCGUGAUGCCCUAAUCGUGUCGUCCUUUGGGCCCUGUCGUUAAAGGCCGAGUAUGCGGGCCUUGGUACUGUUCUCUAUAAGCCGAGCGUAUUUAGUCGGCUUAGCUGAUCGGCUAAAAGUACUCUGGGGUCGAGCCGACAUCUUUAGCCGCUUAAGCCGACUAAACUGGUCAAGCU
rnacentral:lncRNA from 1 species